rnacentral:rRNA from 1 species
AUUGAACGCUGGCGGAAUGCUUUACACAUGCAAGUCGAACGGUAGAGGGGGCAACCCCUCGAGAGUGGCGAACGGGUGAGUAAUAUAUCGGAACGUGCCCAGUCGUGGGGGAUAACGUAGCAAAAGUUACGCUAAUACCGCAUACGAUCUAAGGAUGAAAGCGGGGGAUCGCAAGACCUCGCGCGAUUGGAGCGGCCGAUAUCAGAUUAGGUAGUUGGUGGGGUAAAGGCUCACCAAGCCAACGAUCUGUAGCUGGUCUGAGAGGACGACCAGCCACACUGGAACUGAGACACGGUCCAGACUCCUACGGGAGGCAGCAGUGGGGAAUUUUUGACAAUGGACGCAAGUCUGAUCCAGCCAUUCCGCGUGCAGGAUGAAGGCCCUCGGGUUGUAAACUGCUUUUGUACGGAACGAAAAGGUCUCUCUUAAUACGGGGGGCUCAUGACGGUACCGUAAGAAUAAGCACCGGCUAACUACGUGCCAGCAGCCGCAGUAA